AAACCGCGAGGUGGAGCAAAUCCCUAAAAGCCAUCCCAGUUCGGAUCGCAGGCUGCAACCCGCCUGCGUGAAGUUGGAAUCGCUAGUAAUCGCGGAUCAGCAUGCCGCGGUGAAUACGUUCCCGGGCCUUGUACACACCGCCCGUCACACCAUGAGAGUCGGGAACACCCGAAGUCCGUAGCCUAACCGCAAGGGGGGCGCGGCCGAAGGUGGGUUCGAUAAUUGGGGUGAAGUCGUAACAAGGUAUC
rnacentral:rRNA from 1 species